AUUCUCUAUCUGAUGGAGGGCAAAAAUUUCCAUUUAACUGUGUCUCACAUCGAACUCCUCAUUUGAAAGGGGCACCAGAAUGACUCUUUUUGUUCCAGUGGUUCUCAAAUUCACAUCCUCUGUCGAAGAGGUCUAUAAAUGUCAUCCAGUCAUACCAGGGCUUCAGUGCCUCUCCCUCUCCCUAUGGGAGCCUCAGACACACCACAUCUAGUCAUAAAUAUUUCCUCUUCUCCCUGUGUCUAUCGGGCAACAAAGCCUUCUCGAAUGCCCAUAUUGGACUGAAAUAUUUCCUUUUUUUUUUCAGUGGUGGACACAUACCUACACUCUCUUGUAAAGUGUAAAUAGAUCUUGUCUUAUUGACUAUGUGUGCCUGCUAUAUUACAACUGUCUAAGAUUACUUCCAAACUUCUUCCUGUUACAAAUAUUCGGAGACAUUCCUCCAUUCAAGAAAAGUGGCCUUGCUCUUAUGUCAUCUGACUAAAGGUUUCAUAGACCAAAAAUAACCAUCCAACCUGUUGGAAUACUGAAACAAUUGCUGCCUGCUUUCCACACGCUACAUAAAAUAUGUGGAUAUCCUAAAUUCUACAAAAAAGAUUUGUAAGGGUAAAUCAGUUUACUAUCUUUGUUUUGUUACCUUAGACAGAGACAUCCUGGCCUCCAUGCAGAGGAAUGUGUGGAUGGACAUAUAUUUAAGGAAGACACUAAACCAGAAAAUACUACAUUACACCCUCUUAAAAGACUUCUAAGAUUGUUGUCAUGCCUACCACUGACAUUCAGAUGAUGUGUAUUCUUGAUUGUGAUUUCAUGUUUGGAGCUGAUGAAGGAACCCAGGAGAAGAACAUAUGCCUGAGAAGAAGAACUAGUGUGGAAUUGUCAGCCAGGUUUUUGGUGAGUGCUCAGACUCCUUCCUGAUCCGGCACCACAUUUACUACAGUGGACAGAUGUUCUAGUCUCUGAUGAGGAGUUGCUAGCUGUAAGGAAGUACCUGGAAUGGGCUCCACUGCAUGAGGUUUGAAGUCUCCAGAGCAGCAAGGAGAGUGGGGAGUAGAACUCAUCAUCUUUAGGUCACUCAUCCCCGAUGGAUUGUUCCCAACCUUAGUAUACAGACAUGGAUGGUUGAACACAAACCUGUCAGGCUGACAACGCAAUAGACAUCUACUAAAGUCCUUGGAACCAUGUUCAGAGUGCUGCACAUCCUCCUAAAGAUGCCACGGAUGACAUGGUUCCUUGUGAUUGUUGUUCUCUUCUUGUUGUUGCUGUUUUCUUUUAACUUUUGAAGAGGAUACAUUAUUAGUCUGUUGCUAUGUUAGUCAUCUCCUGGCAUUAGAAACCAACAUGCCACUGCUUAAAUGUUUUACAUUUCCUACUCUUUUUGGAAAACACAAUGUAUGCACAUCAUUUUUUCCUAUUGUUUCAAAGACAUACCACUAUGUAAUUCAACUUUACAAUUGGAAUCAUUUUGACCAAUAUUCACAUGAAUAUAAAUUUUAUGUGUAAA
rnacentral:lncRNA from 1 species